rnacentral:tRNA from 2 species
GCGUCCAUAGUUCAACUGGAUAGAAUGCUCGGUUUCGACCCGAGAGGUUGUGGGUUCGACUCCUACUGGGCGUGCCA